UACGUAGGGGGCAAGCGUUGUCCGGAAUCAUUGGGCGUAAAGCGCACGUAGGCGGCCUUGUAAGUCGGACGUGAAAUCCCACGGCUCAACCGUGGAAGUGCAUCCGAAACUGCAAGGCUCGAGUAUGGAAGAGGGUCGCAGAAUUCCCGGUGUAGAGGUGAAAUUCGUAGAUAUCGGGAGGAAUACCAGUGGCGAAGGCGGCGACCUGGGCCAAUACUGACGCUGAGGUGCGAAAGCGUGGGGAGCAAACAGG
rnacentral:rRNA from 1 species